rnacentral:lncRNA from 12 species
UCUGGGCUUUUAAAGGGAAAAAAAACAAACAGUAGUGGCCUGAUGUUGAGCUGAAGGUGCCAAAAAGCAGCACUUUGCCAGCAGAAAGAUCAUUAAUUUCUUCUUUUCUCUGGCCAAAGUGUCCUGUCGCUGCUGAUUGUCCAGGGAAUGGAUAAUUGGGAAUUAUCCCAGGCAGGAGGGACUCUGGAUCUGCCCCGUUUCCAACCUCCCUCUUCAUUUAUUGUGGAGUGCUCAGCUCCUGAAGGGCAGAACUUGGAGCAGAAAGUCAGGAACCAGGAAAUUCCAGGUGGAAGCAGCUGAAGUGAAAGAGCAGCUCUGACUCAUUUGAACUGAUCAGGGCAGGGUAGGAGACAAAAUCUCCCCAAGUGUGUUAUUUACCAACUUUAAUUCCAGGAUUUCUUAAGAAAUAUGAAGAUUUAGCAAGGCCUUGGCAGUGAAAAACAGGAUUGAAGCUCAUCCAGUGUUCCCCAAACUGUGAGUAUUGUUUAUAUUUCUAAAUACACAUUAAUAUUUCUAAACGUUUCUGUCUCCCUGG